UACAGAGGGGGCGAGCGUUGUUCGGAAUUACUGGGCGUAAAGGGCGCGUAGGCGGCCCGCUAAGUCGAACGUGAAAUCCCUGGGCUCAACCCAGGAACUGCGUCCGAUACUGGCAGGCUUGAAUCCGGGAGAGGGAUGCGGAAUUCCAGGUGUAGCGGUGAAAUGCGUAGAUAUCUGGAGGAACACCGGUGGCGAAGGCGGCAUCCUGGACCGGCAUUGACGCUGAGGCGCGAAAGCCAGGGGAGCAAACGGG
rnacentral:rRNA from 1 species